AUCGCUUUCUCUCGGCCUUUGGCUAAGAUCAAGUGUAGUAUCUGUUCUUAUCAGUUAAUACCUGAUACGUCCUCCAUUCGAGGAUUUAUAUAAACGGAUUUUUAGAGCGGGAGCUGGAAGAGGGGCUUGCUCCGUCCGCUCCACGCAUCGACCUGGUAUUGCAGUACCUCCAGACGGUGCACCUUUU
ensembl:snRNA U2 U2 spliceosomal RNA